rnacentral:rRNA from 1 species
GAUGAACGCUGGCGGCGUGCCUAAUACAUGCAAGUCGAGCGAACGGACGAGAAGCUUGCUUCUCUGAUGUUAGCGGCGGACGGGUAAGUAACACGCGGAUAACCUACCUAUAAGACUGGGAUAACUUCGGGAAACCGGAGCUAAUACCGGAUAAUAUUUUGAACCGCAUGGUUCAAAAGUGAAAGACGGUCUUGCUGUCACUUAUAGAUGGAUCCGCGCUGCAUUAGCUAGUUGGUAAGGUAACGGCUUACCAAGGCAACGAUGCAUAGCCGACCUGAGAGGGUGAUCGGCCACACUGGAACUGAGACACGGUCCAGACUCCUACGGGAGGCAGCAGUAGGGAAUCUUCCGCAAUGGGCGAAAGCCUGACGGAGCAACGCCGCGUGAGUGAUGAAGGUCUUCGGAUCGUAAAACUCUGUUAUUAGGGAAGAACAUAUGUGUAAGUAACUGUGCACAUCUUGACGGUACCUAAUCAGAAAGCCACGGCUAACUACGUG